rnacentral:rRNA from 1 species
CCUACGGGAGGCAGCAGUGGGGAAUUUUGGACAAUGGGCGAAAGCCUGAUCCAGCCAUGCCGCGUGCAGGAUGAAGGCCUUCGGGUUGUAAACUGCUUUUGUACGGAACGAAAAGGUCUUUUCUAAUAAAGAAGGCUCAUGACGGUACCGUAAGAAUAAGCACCGGCUAACUACGUGCCAGCAGCCGCGGUAAUACGUAGGGUGCGAGCGUUAAUCGGAAUUACUGGGCGUAAAGCGUGCGCAGGCGGUUAUAUAAGACAGUUGUGAAAUCCCCGGGCUCAACCUGGGAACUGCAUCUGUGACUGUAUAGCUAGAGUACGGUAGAGGGGGAUGGAAUUCCGCGUGUAGCAGUGAAAUGCGUAGAUAUGCGGAGGAACACCGAUGGCGAAGGCAAUCCCCUGGACCUGUACUGACGCUCAUGCACGAAAGCGUGGGGAGCAAACAGGAUUAGAUACCCUGGUAGUCCACGCCCUAAACGAUGUCAACUGGUUGUUGGGUCUUCACUGACUCAGUAACGAAGCUAACGCGUGAAGUUGACCGCCUGGGGAGUACGGCCGCAAGGUUGAAACUUAAAUGAAUUGACCGGNUGAGAGNGCGAGACGACGACGAGGGAGGAGG